UGCCCCGUGGCUGAGUUGGUUACAGCGGUUGACUGUUAGUAAAGAAAUCCUUAAUUAAUAUAAUUAAAGAUAAUUACGUAAUAAUGAUCAGACGGUCGAGAGUUCGAGUCUCUCCGGGGCAG